GACGAACCGUGCGAACGUUGUUCGGAAUCACUGGGCUUAAAGGGCGCGUAGGCGGGCGGCCAAGUCGGAGGUGAAAGCCUGCAGCUCAACUGCAGAAGUGCCCCCGAUACUGGUCCGUCUCGAGGGAGGUAGGGGCAUGUGGAAGCUUCCGGUGGAGCGGUGAAAUGCGUAGAUAUCGGAAGGAACGCCGGUGGCGAAAGCGAACGUGCUGGACCUCUACUGACGCUGAGGCGCGAAAGCCAGGGGAGCAAGCGGG
rnacentral:rRNA from 1 species